UGUAACACCAUAGAAAUAAACACUAGAAGUCGCGUUGAGCCUCUUGGAAUGCGUCGAUGUGGCCGCCAUCUUGGUACAGGGGUUCAGUGAGUGAUUUGACUACGCCUGCGAGGGAAAGAUGCCAGACUUUUGCGCUGCAUACGGCUGUUCAAACGAGCGAAACAAGAAGACAAAGGAGAAAGGCAUUUCAUAGUAGACCUACCAUCUCCUGCGGAUGUGCUACCCUUCCUGAGGUUUCUGUCAUUCCACAUCUACUGAUUCCUCAAGAUGAAUUUUGGUAAGCACAGAUUCUGUACUGUCUGUUCAUUAAAUGCACAGGGGGGUAUUCUAAGUAUGUGGUUUGGUGGCAGAGUUAAUUUGAGCAGUGGUGCUUACAGCUUUACUCCCUUUGAAGGAGUGCCUGCUAUGGAGGUGCGCUUUGAUGAGUGGGACAGUGCUAGUCGGCUGCAGGAGCGGCUGCAGGGCCAGCUGAGCUCAAUGGGGUUUACCAUCAGGGAGCUGGUGGGCCUCUUGGUCCUUCGCCCGGCCCAUCAUGCCGUUCUCCUGCUUGACCCAACCUGCUACAGCUGCUCCCUGCAUCAGUUCAGCUCACAGCUCAAUCAUUAUUCCGCUGAGCUACAGGCUCGUGGUCUGUCACUCCAGUGGGUCUUUAGUGCCAGAGGAGACUACAGCAGAGCUGCCAAGUCCAUCCAGAACAGCAACAUUGAUGAUGAGAGAGUGACCUGCCUCCUCAACACUCGCAUCAUGAGGACGCUGGGAACCCUGCCGUUUUAGUGCUUUUGGACCUCACAGCGGCCUUUGAUGACACAGUGGACCAUGCAGUCCUUCUCUCCCGCCUUGAGCACUGUGUAGGCAUCCGAGGCUCGGCACUUAAAUGGUUUGGCUCCUAUCUGACAAACAGGAGCUUCUCGGUCAUGCUUGGUGAUUUCUUGGUGAUUUCUCCUCGUCAACUGCUCCUCUCUCUUGUGGGGUACCCCAAGGCUCGAUUCUUGGCCCGACCCUGUUUUCCCUAUACAUGCUGCCGUUGGGGCCAUUAUAAGAAAGCACAACUUGUCUUUUCACUGUUACGCAGACAAUGUGCAAAUUGAUUUGCCUAUGAAACUGAAUGACAGCGCAGCAUUAGAUUCCCUACUUAGCCACAACUUAAUGUCGUGAAUACAGCUAUCACAAAACUUUCUUAACUUGAAUGAAGCCAAAACUGAGUGCAUCAUUUUCAGUACUGCUGGAACACCAAACGGUCCAGCUCUAAGUUUGGGAGCUCUGGCUACUUAUCUCAAGCCAGCUGUUAGAAAUUUGGGGGUUACUUUUGAUUGUAACAUGAAAUUUCACAAGCAAAUCAGUAAUGUGGUUAAAACAAAUGUGGCUAAAGUUAAGAACUUUUUUAACAGGCAUGAUUUAGAAAAGGCGAUUCAUGCUUUUAUUAGUUCAAGACUCGAUUACUGUAAUGCCUUGUAUGCUGGCUUGAGUCAAACGUCCAUCUCACGUCUGCAACUUGUGCAAAAUGCUGCCGCCCGCUUUUUAACAAACACACCUAGACGCGAACAUAUUACUCCUGUUCUUUAUACACUACAUUGGCUCCCUGUGCGUUUUAGAAUAGUGUUCAAGAUUUUAUUGUUUGUUUUUAAUGCCCUGGCCCCAGAAUACUUAUCCGAGAUGUUGACCCUGCGUGAGCACAACCGGUCUUUGCGGUCUUCUAACCAAUUGGUGUUAGAGGUCCCAAGGUCCAGGUAUAAACGGUGGGGUGAGCAGGCUUUUGCGGUUUUGGCCCCGAAACUCUGGAAUAAGCUGCCCCCUGAUAUUCGGACAAUAACGGACAUUGGUCUUUUCAAGUCUAAACUAAAGACUCACUUGUUUAGAAUGGCUUUUAAUAUGCUAUAGUGGUGUGACAAUUCUAGUUAUUUAUUUAAGUCUACAUGUCAAGCAGUAAAAAGAUUGAUAUGCUGUUUUUAUCCUUAGCUUCUGAUGUGAAGCACUCUGGGCAUCUACUGGUUGUUGUAAAGUGCUAUACAAAUAAAUGUUGAUUGAUUGAUUGAUUGAUUGAGAUAUUUUAGUAACAAUUAACAAAUAUUAACAAAGGGUUAGGUAAUUACUAGUUUGCUAUUUAUUAUGGCACCUUAUUAUGGAGUGUUACAAAAACUCUUUUAUUCCUAGUGCAAUACGCCUGCUAAAUUUGCACAGUUUUGCUUUAGUGCACAUAAACUAUUCUGAUGAGCAUCUGUCAAAAAUAUAGAUUGAUAAGACAGUUUCUUAACUUUCUUAACUUAUAUUAACCUGUGUCUUUUUUCUCAUCUUGUGUCUGUGUGUAUCUUGUGCUAUUUAUGUGUACCUGAUUGCGAGACAAGUUUCCCUUCGGGACAAUAAAGUUAAACUGAACUGAACUGAAGUCUGGACUUAAAAAUACUAAAAUUGUCUGGUUUCCUGUUGCAACAUUGCCCACUACUUUCAUUAUUUUCACCACUAUGUUUCACCACUGACAAUGCCAUAGAUAUGAUGGUCACAGUGUAUUCUUAGAUGCACCCUGCAUUGUCACAGUCUUACAGUAGGUAAUGUUUCAUGCCUAAGGGCUAACCAGCAUCAGAACAGCAGACAUCAUAUACUAUAUUUGUCAUCCAGUGGCUGAACAGGACUAUAAGCUUCCAUGGUCUUAAACACCUGUUGUCCUCCUCUGCUCUCAUUGUUGGUGGUUACCUGCUGAAGAGAACCAGGGCAGUUAACUUUAUUACAGGAUCUUCAUACAGCACCUCUAAGAUAA